GACGAACGCUGGCGGCGUGCUUAACACAUGCAAGUCGAACGGAAAGGCCCUGCUUUUGUGGGGUGCUCGAGUGGCGAACGGGUGAGUAACACGUGAGUAACCUGCCCUUGACUUUGGGAUAACUUCAGGAAACUGGGGCUAAUACCGGAUAGGAGCUCCUGCUGCAUGGUGGGGGUUGGAAAGUUUCGGCGGUUGGGGAUGGACUCGCGGCUUAUCAGCUUGUUGGUGGGGUAGUGGCUUACCAAGGCUUUGACGGGUAGCCGGCCUGAGAGGGUGACCGGCCACCUUGGGACUGAGAUACGGCCCAGACUCCUACGGGAGGCAGCAGUGGGGAAUAUUGCACAAUGGGCGGAAGCCUGAUGCAGCAACGCCGCGUGCGGGAUGACGGCCUUCGGGUUGUAAACCGCUUUCGCCUGAGACGAAGCGUGAGUGACGGUAAUGGGUAAAGAAGCACCGGCUAACUACGUG
rnacentral:rRNA from 1 species